rnacentral:lncRNA from 1 species
ACGUGAUUUGAAAAACAUUUGUAAAGCUGAAUUAGAGCCCUCAAAUUUUAUUUUUCUAGGAAAGGACAAAUAAUUAAACAACAUCUUUGGAGUUUGCUGUGACUUCUGUACAUCUAACAAGCUGUACUUUCACAGAAGCUUUCUGGAGGUUGCACAGUUAUUAAAACCAGUUAGGGGCCUUAUCUUUUGGGAAACAAAAACUUACAUUCCUUAGAGCCAAGGAGAUGCCCCGACUAAGAACACAUCUGCGGCACUAAUUUCAUCAGCGUUUCUGUCUUCAGGAAUUCAAGGUCUAAUUUUGCUUAUCUAACAACAGUCCAGUUGGGGGAAAUGAAAGGGUCCAUUGAUCACUCUGUUGGGUGAGAGAACAGGAUGACCCAUGCUGAAGGAUGUCACACUAUCACACUGAGUUUGCAGGCAGCGAGAGACCACUGAGGUCACUCCCGUCUCGGGAUGGCAUCUUGGCAGAUGAGCUGAUGGAUUAAAAAGCUGAGAUAUUUGGGGAAGAAAGAUAUUCACUCUCAAAAAUGUUGUUUCUGAGGAUCCUGUUUUCUAGAGAAAAUGUUACAAACUCAAAUUGUUGCAGGGACCAAACAGGUAACAUCAGUGUGGAUAAAGUGGGCCAGAAAUAACAAAAGGGAGUGAAGGGUCAGAGUGAACCAUCAGAGAGGACCAGGCCUUCCUUGAAAAGAUGUGGGGGAUGGGAUGCUGCAAUUCAAUUCAAGCAGAAUGUGUCUUUGUGUUAUUAGCUAUUACCAUUUAUAUUCAAAGAAAGACAUAUAUACAUUUUAUGUGAAAUCUAUAAGUGCUUAAAUGUUGACAAUUUUUUAAAAAUAUACAUGAGUCAAACAAAAGAUAUCCAUACGUCCUCAAUUGGCUAUUUCAUGUUGUGGGUCAUUUUCUUGUGGGAAAUCAUUGAUGAAUUGUUCAAAAAUUAAUCACCAUUAGCUUUUGUCUUGAACAAAUGUAUUUAUAAAAAUUACAUGG